CCUACGGGUGGCAGCAGUGGGGAAUAUUGCACAAUGGGGGAAACCCUGAUGCAGCGACGCCGCGUGAGUGAAGAAGGAUUUCGGUAUGUAAAGCUCUAUCAGCAGGGAAGAAAAUGACGGUACCUGAUUAAGAAGCCGCGGCGAACUAUGAGCCAGCAGCCGCGGUAAUACGUAGGGGGCAAGCGUUAUCCGGAUUUACCGGGUGUAAAGGGAGCGUAGACGGCAGCACAAGUCUGGAGUGAAAUGCCGGGGCUUAAACCCGGAACUGCUUUGGAAACUGUGCAGCUAGAGUGCAGGAGAGGUAAGUGGAAUUCCUAGUGUAGCGGUGAAAUGCGUAGAUAUUAGGAGGAACCCCAGUGGCGAAGGCGGCUUGCUGGACUGUAACUGACGUUGAGGCUCGAAAGCGUGGGGAGCGAACAGGAUUAGAUACCCCUGUAGUC
rnacentral:rRNA from 1 species